CAGAGAACAUGCCCUUUGGGGCGUAUCUCCCACCCUAUGUCUACAAUACCAUUGUUGCUUUGGCAGGCCUGACUUGUGACUGCUGGCUUUGUAGCUAGCCUGUGCUUGCCAGAGGACCCCAAAUUCUCUUCUCUUGUUGUCCGAGUACCAUAUAAUAAUUA
rnacentral:misc_RNA from 1 species